UACGUAGGGUGCGAGCGUUGUCCGGAUUUAUUGGGCGUAAAGGGCUCGUAGGCGGCGUGUCGCGUCGGGAGUGAAAGCCCGCUGCUUACGGCGGGUUGGCUUCCGGUACGGGCAUGCUGGAGUGUGGCAGGGGAGACUGGAAUUCCUGGUGUAGCGGUGGAAUGCGCAGAUAUCAGGAGGAACACCGAUGGCGAAGGCAGCUCGCUGGGACGUGACUGACGCUGAGACGCGAAAGCGUGGGGAGCAAACAGG
rnacentral:rRNA from 1 species